GUGCCCGCGUGGGCAGCACGUACACUAAGACUGGAGCACACAGAGCCUGGCAUGGCCCCUGCCCAAGGAAGACACCCAAAUUCGUGAAGUGUUCCAUAUUUUU